UACGUAGGGGGCUAGCGUUAUCCGGAUUUACUGGGCGUAAAGGGUGCGUAGGUGGUUUCUUAAGUCAGAGAUGAAAGGCUACGGCUCAACCGUAGUAAGCCUUUGAAACUGAGAAACUUGAGUGCAGGAGAGGAGAGUGGAAUUCCUAGUGUAGCGGUGAAAUGCGUAGAUAUUAGGAGGAACACCAGUUGCGAAGGCGGCUCUCUGGACUGUAACUGACACUGAGGCACGAAAGUGUGGGGAGCAAACAGGAUUAGAUACCCUGGUAGUCCCU
rnacentral:rRNA from 1 species